GUCCAGGGAUGGGAAUCGAACCCACGACCUUCCGCUUACCGGGCAGAUGUCAUGUCCACUAGGCUACCCUGGA